rnacentral:lncRNA from 1 species
GAGCCUGACUGGCUGGUAGAGCGAGCUAUGCAAUGUUUGCUGGUCUCUCGUCUUUGCUGAACUUCAGUACGUUGAGAGAGGCACCACAGAGAGCUUUUCCUGGGGUUGCUGGUGAUCUGAAUCCCUUCUGCUGACUCGUGCUGCUUCAGCGGAGGCCUGGCUGUUCCUGCUAGGUCACACCUCCACUGCUGCUAUCCCGACACUACUGAACUGGACUGCUGGUCUAUCUGUGAGGUGUUUGUGAGUAGAUCAAGCUGCCAUUGCUGACCUGUGAGCUGAACAGCUGAUUUUCUGACACUUCCAGUUUGUGACCUGAAAAACCUAAGCACGUUCUUGUACUACUUUUACUCAUAAAUGGAGAAAGAGCAGUUGCAGGGCCAAGAAGAAGCCGAUGCCCGGCUUUCCUGUCCCUUUACCUCAGCUGUAAGACCAUCUACACAGCUGCCCAGACCAGGGAUGUGAAUCUAACAUUUGACAAUGAGGAAACAACUAUAAUUCACUGUCCCUGUAUCUGGGGACAGGACUGAAAUAAAGAAAGGUCCUAGCUCCCAACCGAACCAGGAAAGGUUUCUCCUCUGAGAACAAUGAGAGGCGCAGGGAGGAGCCAGAGUUUCAAAGAAAAAGACUGAGGGGUGAUACACAGUAUUAUGAUUUGAGGGUGAAGUGUUCCCCAAAGACUCAUGUGGCUUGGUGACCAGUCAGUGGGUUUGGAGGAAAUGAACAGACUACAGGGUUCAAGCUGAGUGGAUUCAGAAAUUGAUGGAUUAUGAAAAUAAGGAGGUGGGACUUGGUUAGAUUAUGGAAAUGAGGGGUAUGGUCUGGUUGAGUUAUGGAAAUGAGUGGGUGGGCCUGGUUUGGAUUAUGGAAAUGAGGUGGGGCCUGGUUAGAUUAUGGAAAUGAGGAGGUGGGGCCUGGCUGCAGGAUGUAGUUCACUGAGGACAAGACUUUCCUGAGUCCUGUCAGAGCCUCUUCCUGCCUCAUUUCUGCCUCUGCCACUUGCGGUUGUUCAGCUGUUGGGAAAAUUUUGAGUCAAAAUAAAAACUGCUGUUU